rnacentral:misc_RNA from 1 species
CUUCUAGUUUAGUACUACUGCCUCUCUCUCUCUCUCUCUCUCCUUUAAUUCUUCCCUUCUCUUCUCAAUCUUUACGGGGAAGGAUGAUGAGGGAUGACCCUCUCAUAUAAGAGACGUAACGGACGUUACUUCCCUGCCAUUUUUUUGACUCACGUGCGUUCGAAAUAUUUCCUUUCACUUAAUAAUGGUUUUAGAGCAGCAAUUAAACUUGGC